GACGAACGCUGGCGGCGUGCUUAACACAUGCAAGUCGAACGGAAAGGCCCCUUUGGGGGUACUCGCGUGGCGAACGGGCGAGUAACACGUGAGUAACCUGCCCUUGCCUUCGGGAUAACUUCCGGAAACUGGGGCUAAUACCGGAUAGGAAUGCUUGCCGCCUGGUGGGGGUUGGAAAGCUUCGGCGGUUGUGGGUGGACUGGCGGCCUAUCAGCUUGGUGGUGGGGUAGUGGCUUGCCAAGGCUUUGACGGGUAGCCGGCCUGGGAGGGCGGCCGGCCACAGUGGGACUGAGAUACGGCCCAGACGCCUACGGGAGGCAGCAGUGGGGAAUAUUGCACAAUGGGCGGAAGCCUGAUGCAGCAACGCCGCGUGCGGGAUGACGGGCUUCGGGUUGGAAACCGCUUUCAGCAGGGGCGAAGCUUGUGGUGACGGUACCUGCAGAAGAAGCACCGGCUAACUACGUG
rnacentral:rRNA from 1 species